rnacentral:tRNA from 1 species
GCCUGGCUAGCUCAAUCGGUAGAGCGUUUGACUCUUAUGAUCAAAAGGUUGCGGGUUCGACCCCCGCGUCGGGUU